AACGAACGCUGGCGGCAUGCCUAACACAUGCAAGUCGAACGAGACCUUCGGGUCUAGUGGCGCACGGGUGCGUAACGCGGGGGAACCUGCCCUUAGGUUCGGAAUAACUCCCCGAAAGGGGUGCUAAUACCGGAUAAUGUCUUCGGACCAAAGAUUUAUCGCCUUUGGAUGGGCCCGCGUUGGAUUAGCUAGUUGGUAGGGUAAAAGCCUACCAAGGCGACGAUCCAUAGCUGGUCUGAGAGGAUGAUCAGCCACACUGGGACUGAGACACGGCCCAGACUCCUACGGGAGGCAGCAGUGGGGAAUAUUGGACAAUGGGCGAAAGCCUGAUACAGCAAUGCCGGGUGAGUGAUGAAGGCCUUAGGGUUGUAAAGCUCUUUUACCCGGGAUGAUAAUGACGGUACCGGGAGAAUAAGCACCGGCUAACUCCGUG
rnacentral:rRNA from 1 species